ensembl:lncRNA
CUCCGAGAGACCACGGGGACGAGCGGGGAGGAGAGCAGCGCAGCUUCAUGCUGCACCGAGAAGGGGGCGGGGGGGGGAGGGAGAGGGGGGGAGAAAACCCCAAUUCCCCCAACGCUGCCUCUCCGCGGCCCUGAAAUCCACGUGAACGGGUUAAUGGGAACUCCCCGGGCCCGUCCCACGGCACCUCCCGCGGGUGCGGAGCGCUGACUCACACUUUCCAGCGCUGCGGCGCUCCGCGGGGGGGAGCGGUGGCACUGAGCGCCCGGGGCCGUUCUCACGUGUGCGUGGGGCACGGAACGGCGCUUCGGCAGAACCGGGGGUUGUCGGGUUGUUUGGCAGCGACCUACCGGUAUCUGAUGGGUUGUUGGGGAUGGGCUCGGGGCGCAACCCGGAGUUGGAGGCGCAGAGGAAAACAAACCCAAACCAGACCUGAUGCAACCCAGGGCAAGCACUGGGAUCUCAGGCUGUGUAGAACAGAAAUGCGUUCAUCUGAAUCCAGUGCAAAAAUCUUCUCAUCAGUACAAACCAGGACGAGAGCAGCUCAGAAGCACAGAUAGCACAGAGAUGGACAUUCACGCUUUUCUCCCUUAGAAAAACACACAGUGAUCCAAAACGCAUCCUGACCAGGACAUUUCCUUGCUGUCUACAGCAGGCUGUGUGCAAAGAGACAUUUGGGGUUAUCAUGGCGCAGCACAACGCAGCCGGGGAGAAGCUGUGGAUGCCCAAUGGGAGCUGUUGGCUUCUGGCUUUGCUGGGGACUUAUUUCCUACAUGGGUCCUAUGUGGGACUCAACAAUGAAAUGCAGAUGCUGAUUCCUCCUAAUUCACCAGAGCUCCCAGGGUCUGUCCUGAUGCCAUUGACAGAGAUUUUCAAUGUACUUUUGCACUCACAACCUUAUAAAAUGGGGCAUGGGGGCGGAGAAGAUGAAGACAGGCUGCCCGGAGCUGCGGGUGCCCCAUCCCCACAGUGCCUGAGGCCACAGAUGGGUGCUGGGCAGCCUGAGCUGUGGGGGCAGCCACCCAUGGCAAGGGGUGGGCAUUCGGGGCUUUGAGAUUCCCUCCCACCCAACCAUUCCACGAUUCUGUGAUUCUCUGAAGACGUGGGCACAGCUCAAGGCCCUGCAGUGAAAGCACUUCUGGGGUUUCUAAGCCCAAAGGAGCUCAAAGCAUCUCCCUCGGCCUCACUUUUCACAGGCAGCACAGCAGAGCCAGCCAUAAGACGUUUGUCCUGUCCCGGCUGCGGGAGCCUGGCACUAUCACAUCAACCAGAUGCUCUGUUCCAAUAGGAAGGGAAUUGCAGCCUCCCUCGUCCACCACGGGAUCCAUCGCAAACCCUCACCACCCAUAACAAACACAGGGGUUUGGCCUUUUUAUCAGCAUUUGUUCAGCAGCCUGUGGAGACAGUCUGCCUCGCCGGACUCCUUUCCAGGCAGAUAACGCCCAGUUCUGACAGCGCCCUGUGCUGUUGUUUUGGCUCAGAGUUGGGGAAUUGCCCUUUUCGAGCCGGGUCUGUCCGAGGAAGAAAAGCAGCCGACGUCACUGAGUGAUGUGCCAAGCGCAGCACCCUUAAAAAAUAGCUCUCUCCCCAUCCCUAUCCAUAUCUACCCAUUGCAUUUGCAAACGCCAAACUGGAAGCUCCCCGGGAGGGGAGGAUUAAACCGGGAUUAUUGCAUUCAGAGCCGGUUCGGAAAAGAGGGAGUAGGGGUGGAUAUAUAUAUAUCUAUAUCAAAAUGGCUUUAAUUAACUGCGGAGGGUUUGUUGUGUCCGGCGGUGCUCUCCUAGCAGCGGGAGCUAAAUGUGCCGCGGGCAGGACGGGAGGAAGGCUAGGUUGAGGAAGACAUCAAAGCAGAUCUGAGAAAGGUCAGAUAUAAAUGGCAACCUGUCCGCUUUGCGAGGGUUCGCUCUUCUAUUUACGAUGGUGUUUUCUGGGAAGAGCCGCUCGGAGCCAACUGGGGCAGGCUUGUAAAAAGAUAAUUUUUCUCCCUUAGAAAACACACAGGCAGACAGACAGACAGACGGGGCUUCUGGCUCUUCUCCCUCCCCGGGAUCUGCUGCCCUGGGCAAUUUGUUCUGUUGCAGCAGCCCUGUGACCGGCGUCUGGGCUGCUCAGAGCAGACGCCGGCGCUCCGGCAAAGAGCUGCUCACCACAGCGUGGGGAAAUGUUUUCUGCAGUGGUGCAGCAGCGUCUUAAAGAGCAGCACUGUUAUUUCGCAGUCGUCUCCAAUAAUAACCCGGCGAGAGCAGCCACAAAGCACAGGAGCGAAGCUGCUGCCGCCGACUGAAAGUUUAAGGAAGGAGGAACAGAAGUGGGAAGAGAAUAGAAAUAGGGACUGAGUCAUGGGCUGAAGGCAGCGAGGGCACAAAAAGGCUUCCAGAGAGUGUCUGUGGGACGGUGCGGUCCGGAGCCUCCCCAGAUGUCUGCAGCCUCAAAAUGGGGAUGUGAGAAUCAUUGGGGCAGAAGGGAGAGCGUCUGCUCUGCUCUGCAUCUGGACCAGGGGCGCUCAUUGCUGAAAUGCACAAGUGCAGCUCUUUUGGUGCUGAAACUCUCUUUGAGUGUGGCUGCAUCGGGACCUGCAGGGCUUGCGUGUGCAGAAGGGCACAGUGGGGUGGGGGCUGCAGAGGUGUCCACAGCUCCCCAGCAGCCCAUCCCGUCACGAGCCGGGAUGUGAAUGAGCAGGUGGAGUGCUGGAGCUGGCUGUGAUGCCUGAUGGAACCCAACUGCGUGUGUUGUCAGUGGGGAUCAGCUCCUUGUAUUAUCUAAUGAGUGAGUGGUGAUGAACCUACGCCAGUCAGAUCAUAGAAUCAUGGAAUUGUUUGAGUAGGAAGGGACCUUUAAAGGCCACCUGGUCCAUCUCCCCUGCAGUGAACUGGGACACCCACUGCUCCAUCAGGUGCUCAGAACCCGUCCAGCCGACUCUGAACAGAGUGAGCUGAGCUGAGGGUGCAGAGGUGCAGAACACCUUGGGGUCCCCACAGCCAUUGUCCCACUUUCCAACGGACUGUGUCACUCUGCCCUGAGUUUCACCCAGCCCUGGGGCAAAGGAUGGCUGCUGUUGAACAGCAUCUACCAGCAAGAGUCAUUUGGGAGGAAAGAGAACAUACCACACUGCACAAAAAUCAUUGGUCUCCAAAGCCAGGUUAGGGCAUCGCUGUCCUCCUCCAACUCCCCUCGCUGUGACACGGGCUGGGUGACAGUGACAGUGACACCAACAGCCCCACUAUUAAACAUAUAGGACCGGGGGAUGGCACGCACCAUCCUACUGCCCAUUAUUGAUACCACCAUUAGCCCAACAACAAAGGUCUCUCUUGAAGCCAUAAAGCAAGGGCGGCAUGUUUAUGAGCUGAGGUUUCCUCC